CCUACGGGGGGCUGCAGUGGGGAAUAUUGCACAAUGGGGGAAACCCUGAUGCAGCAACGCCGCGUGAGCGAUGAAGGCCUUCGGGUCGUAAAGCUCUGUCCUAAGGGAAGAAUACUGACGGUACCUUAGGAGGAAGCCCCGGCUAACUACGUGCCAGCAGCCGCGGUAAUACGUAGGGGGCUAGCGUUAUCCGGAAUUACUGGGCGGAAAGGGUGCGUAGGCGGCCCUUCAAGUCAGAGGUGAAAGGCUACGGCUCAACCGUAGUAAGCGUUUGAAAAUGUAGGGCUUGAGUGCAGGAGAGGAGAGUGGCAUUCGCAGUGUAGAGGUGAAAUGAGGAGGUAUUGGGAGGAAGACCAGUUGAGAAGGCGGGUCUCUGGACUGUAACGGACGCGGAGGCACGAAAGCGUGGGGAGCGGACAGGAUGAGAUACCCGUGUAGUC
rnacentral:rRNA from 1 species